rnacentral:rRNA from 1 species
UACGAAGGGGGCUAGCGUUGUUCGGAAUUACUGGGCGUAAAGCGCGUGUAGGCGGGUCUUUAAGUCAGGGGUGAAAUGCCAAGGCUCAACCUUGGAACUGCCUUUGAUACUGGAGACCUUGAGUCCGGGAGAGGUGAGUGGAAUUGCGAGUGUAGAGGUGAAAUUCGUAGAUAUUCGCAAGAACACCAGUGGCGAAGGCGGCUCACUGGCCCGGAACUGACGCUGAGACGCGAAAGCGUGGGGAAGCAACAGGG